UGAAUGAGUUGUUCUGCAGAUGGAUUGAAUCCCUUUACCUAUUCCAGGGCAGUAUGAAGGCAGUAUUCAUUCCUAGAUCCUACUCAACUCGUCCACGUCGUGCAGAAUCGUAGCAUUUCAACACGAUGAAUGACUAAGUUGAGAGGG
rnacentral:ribozyme from 1 species